CAGGUGGAAGUCUAUUUGGUAUGACGCAUCGUUUGGGUCGGUGAUCUUGCAGGUUCGAACCCUGUCCAUCUGA
rnacentral:tRNA from 2 species